rnacentral:tRNA from 1 species
GGAGGGGUUCCCGAGCGGCCAAAGGGAGCAGACUGUAAAUCUGCCGGUGAAACCUUCGCAGGUUCGAAUCCUGCCCCCUCCA